rnacentral:rRNA from 1 species
AUUGAACGCUGGCGGCAGGCUUAACACAUGCAAGUCGAACGGUAACAUAAAGAAGCUUGCUUCUUUGAUGACGAGUGGCGGACGGGUGAGUAAUGCUUGGGAAUCUAGCUUAUGGAGGGGGAUAACUACGGGAAACUGUAGCUAAUACCGCGUAAUAUCGAAAGAUUAAAGUGUGGGACCUUCGGGCCACAUGCCAUAGGAUGGGCCCAAGUGGGAUUAGGUAGUUGGUGAGGUAAAGGCUCACCAAGCCGACGAUCUCUAGCUGGUCUGAGAGGAUGACCAGCCACACUGGGACUGAGACACGGCCCAGACUCCUACGGGAGGCAGCAGUGGGGAAUAUUGCGCAAUGGGGGCAACCCUGACGCAGCCAUGCCGCGUGAAUGAAGAAGGCCUUCGGGUUGUAAAGUUCUUUCGGUAGUGAGGAAGGCAUUUAGUUUAAUAGACUAGGUGAUUGACGUUAACUACAGAAGAAGCACCGGCUAACUCCGUGCCAGCAGCCGCGGUAAUACGGAGGGUGCGAGCGUUAAUCGGAAUAACUGGGCGUAAAGGGCACGCAGGCGGUGACUUAAGUGAGGUGUGAAAGCCCCGGGCUUAACCUGGGAAUUGCAUUUCAUACUGGGUCGCUAGAGUACUUUAGGGAGGGGUAGAAUUCCACGUGUAGCGGUGAAAUGCGUAGAGAUGUGGAGGAAUACCGAAGGCGAAGGCAGCCCCUUGGGAAUGUACUGACGCUCAUGUGCGAAAGCGUGGGGAGCAAACAGG